UACGUAGGGGGCAAGCGUUGUUCGGAAUUACUGGGCGUAAAGGGCGCGUAGGCGGCACGGCAAGUCGGGAGUGAAAGCCCGGGGCUCAACCCCGGAGGGUCUCUCGAAACUGCCGAGCUAGAGUGCGGAAGAGGCAAUCGGAAUUCCCAGUGUAGCGGUGAAAUGCGUAGAUAUUGGGAAGAACACCGGAGGCGAAGGCGGAUUGCUGGGCCGACACUGACGCUGAGGAGCGAAAGCGUGGGGAGCGAACAGG
rnacentral:rRNA from 1 species